rnacentral:lncRNA from 1 species
AGGAGGGAAGAGGGGUUUUAUAUAGGGCGAAGGGGAGGCCGAAUCCUUUCUAGAUUCGACUUUCUCUUCGAUUUACUCUCGUGGAAGAAGACUCCUAGUGGGAGUCUUCAAUAUUCUUUUUCUUUUUUUCUUUUUUUUUGUUUUCUUUUUUAUGCCCUUAGAUUUAUGCAAGGGGGUGAGAUUUUAGGGUGGGAUAUUACAUUCUACCCUCCU